rnacentral:lncRNA from 1 species
UUUUUUUUUUUUUGAGAUGGAGUCUUGCCCUGUUGCCAGGCUGGACUGCAGUGGAUGACCUUGGCUCCCUGCAACCUCUGUCUCCUGGGUUACAGCGAUUCUCCUGCCUCAGCCUCCCGAGUAGCUGGGACUACAGGUACGCACCACCAUGCCCAGCUAAUUUUUGUAUUUUUAGUAGAGACGAGGUUUCACCGUGUUAGCCAGGAUGGUCUUGAUCUCUUGACCUCGUGAUCUGCCCGCCUUGGCCUCCCAAAGUGCUGGGAUUACAGGUGUGAGCCACUGUGCGUGGCCUCCUCUUUUAUUAACAGGAGCUUUCUCUGCCCCAUUCCCCUCAUUUAUAAAUGGAAGUUUGAUGUGGCUGGGAAUCAAAUCAUGGAAGGUGUCCUUCCAACUUAAGAUUUUGAUAUUCUUUGUGUAAAAACUGUUGAAUUCUGACUCUUGCUUGGGUCUUUCCAAUUCCUGAGACCACUGCUUUGCUUAUUACCUCUGUAAUUCUUUCAUGGAGCUGGACAUUUCUUCUUUUGCUCACUAUACUCAGGGCCCAGCACUAAGGCUUGCCUCUCUCCUACUCUAGGCAGUAGCGGCCCAAUUACAGAGCUUCAGAGAGGAGCUGGGCGGGUCCCAGUGCUCUGCUGUGCCAUAUGCAUGAGCAGUGCUUCUUUGUGUAGUCUUCAGUUGACUGUAGAAGAUGACUGGAUAAGAUCAUUGGGAAGUACUGGGUAAGUCACAUAGAACAAGGAUUUGAUUUAAACUGACUAGCUUAAAUAUCACUCCUGAGAUUCCCCAAUAGGUUACAGCAUUUAGUUUCUGCUAAUCCAUAGCAAAACAUAGUACGUUAACUGAGUGCCAAAGAACUGUGAUCUUGCUUCUGCUCUAGACUCAGUGAAAGACCAUGGAGAGCAGACACUUAGAAUGUGAGAGGAUGGAAACAAAUUACAUUUGGGAAGAUUAAUCAGUGUAAAAACAAAGGGAUUUAGGAUUUUCAAGGAUUAAAAUGUGUAGCCAGGUGCAGUGGCCCUCACCUGUAAUCCCAGCACUUUGGGAGGCCUAGGUGGGAGGAUUGCUUGAAGCCAGGGGUUUGAGACCUGCCUGGGCAAUAUAGCAAGACCAUGUCUGUAUAUAUAAAAAAGUGUAUUUUAUACACAUGUUGUAGAAAGAAUGUUUAGUUUUAGAUUGAUUUCCCUUACAGGAAUGCCCCACCAGUUCCAAAAAAUAUUUCCCAACCACUUUCUUCUUUUCCUCUUGGCCAGUGAAUUCAUCUCAAUACAAGGUCUAAGUGUCCACAGCUCAUCUCUUUCAGCUGUGUGGAAACAGCCAGUGCAUGGAAACAGAAGGGAGCCUCUGUGUCUCUUAGGCAUUGUGUUUGAUAAAUGGACAACUUUAACUUACUUGUUGCCCAGCCUUCCAGUUUGUCUCUUACCAAACCAAAAGUGCUGCCUUCUAUUAGAGUCCAAAUAUUAGGCUGAAACACUUAUAUCAGCAGCAACUCAGGAGCCUAGGACAGCUUUUGACGGUAUAAUUAGUAACCAGCCAGCUUGCCCUCUAGGAUAAAGGAAAAGCAGAGACUCGUGUGAAAGUGCUCUUAGGCAAUGAGCUCUGCCUCCAGGAUAAUUAAGCUGCCACUUGUAUCUGCAAGGCUGACUUACCGAGCUUAACCCGUGACCAACCUGCAUCCUUUCACCAAUUCAAAACACAUAAAAUGAGCCACCAGUGUUUUACGAAGUUGAAUAAAGCAUUAAGAGAUUAGUCUGCCCUAGGGCACUGGAAGGGGCAGGUCCUGAAAGGACAUGGUGUGCUCCUGGGCCGGUUCGAACUGAGGCUGUGCUGUUUGGAAACUGCUGUGUUUGUUGUGUGAAGCACAAUCUGUGUACUUGCUUUCCUUGGUCCUGGACCUUUGCUGCCGAAGCUGUGGAGUUGUCCUGGUCUGCUCACUCCAGCCUCCCUGACUGAUGCUGACAAUGGCAACUCCCCUACGGCUCACAGCCCUGCAGUCACCUUACCUUCUUGUAGGCCCCGAGGAGCGGUGUCAUGUUCUCGUUCUGCCUCCUCCCAUCCCUCUUCAGAUUCAGUUUAGAAGAGGUCUUUUUGAGGUGGAAAACCUGACAUUGAUUUUCUGCUGCUGCUUUCUCAAUUAUCUCAUUUUAUUGGGUUUUGGUUGGUUUGAGUCUAUUCUUGGGCAAGUCACUUCCAUAUAUUGAUACUCUUAGAAAAACAUCCUUUUAUUUCAAUCUUAAUACUUUUGUUUGGAUUU